rnacentral:rRNA from 1 species
AUUGAACGCUGGCGGCGUGCCUUACACAUGCAAGUCGAACGGCAGCAUGAUCUAGCUUGCUAGAUUGAUGGCGAGUGGCGAACGGGUGAGUAAUACAUCGGAACGUGCCCUGUAGUGGGGGAUAACUAGUCGAAAGAUUAGCUAAUACCGCAUACGACCUGAGGGUGAAAGUGGGGGACCGCAAGGCCUCAUGCUAUAGGAGCGGCCGAUGUCUGAUUAGCUAGUUGGUGAGGUAAAGGCUCACCAAGGCGACGAUCAGUAGCUGGUCUGAGAGGACGAUCAGCCACACUGGGACUGAGACACGGCCCAGACUCCUACGGGAGGCAGCAGUGGGGAAUUUUGGACAAUGGGUGAAAGCCUGAUCCAGCAAUGCCGCGUGUGUGAAGAAGGCCUUCGGGUUGUAAAGCACUUUUGUCCGGAAAGAAAUGGCUCUGGUUAAUACCUGGGGUCGAUGACGGUACCGGAAGAAUAAGGACCGGCUAACUACGUG